AGAGGAAGAUAGCUUUGCUUCCCAGUUAUCUGGGUAGUAUCUGGUCCCUAUUUUAUAUAGGUUAUGGGGAGAGAUGGUGGAAAUGCCUGUGAUGAGAAGGGAUCCUUUUCUUUGAGGAGCAGACCAAGGUAUUGAAGAGGUCUUUGCUCCUUAACCUAUUGCCUAUGCUGGAUAAGCUGGUGUGCCUUGCUCUGACUGAAAACAGAAGGUUGGAUGGCUCAUCUGAACAAGGGGUAACAAGCAGACUGCCCCUGAUCAGAAGUCUGCCAUGCUUAAUGAAACCUCAGCUGAGUUUCUUGCUUCCAAGCAUGUGAAGUGAGGGGGAGGAAAGAGGCAGGUACCUUCUGGAUGGAGCCUUCCAAUGGUCUUGCUGUGUGUUCUGGGACAUCCUGUCAAACACCUGGAGACUUCAUAGUAAUGUCCAAUGAGGAUAUUGCCUCACCUCUUUUGUCUUUACCACUGUGCUGGUGGUGAUAUUACAGUGAUGCUGAUUCUUUGUGGCUGCUCGUGAUGCAUUCUCAGGAUGAAAAGAUCCACUUCAAUUCUGAGAUGAUGUGUAAGAAAGCUGAAUUAGCUUCCAUGCUUUCAAACAAGUGUUAGUUAAGACAUAAUGCUGUAGCACAUGGCAACUAAGUUGUUAUUGUGAUAGAAGAGCUCUUGGUGUACCUCUCCCCUUCUUCUGCCUGGAGCACAACAUGCUGCUUCCAUUGCUAAAAGAGAACUGCAUCAACUCUGAAAAACAGCAAGUUGAUUAUAGCUCAUUCAAACUGUCUAUGGGAAGAAAAGCAAACAACGCUAUUAAAAGCAUGACUGUUUCUUCAAUGAAAGAAAACUGGGGGAGUGCUGCGAUGAAGUUUUUUGGAUGUUGUGAAGUUUUGUGGGUUGUGAGUGUUGAGGAAGAGGCAGGUAUAACCAAACCUGGUAAAACUGCUCUGGUGGUGUUUGCAGAUGUGCCUCAUGAACUGUGUGUGAUAAACAUGAAGAGCCUGUCCUGUCUUUAGUCUACCAUAACUACAGAUCAUCAGAGCAGAGUAUCUGUUGAUGCUGAAGACAAUUCUGAUAAGGCACUGAUAAGGUAAAAGAUACCUCAACCACAGUGAUACUUAAAUACCACGUAUAACCUGGCUAAAGCUUUUAUGUGAAGCUGGCCCCUCUGAAACAAAGACCUAUUAAUUCUGUCAGAGUGUGAACUUGUGCUGCAGCUAGUGUGAACUAGGAAAUGAGGACCGCUCUUUCUUGUAGAGCACCACAGGAAAGUGGUACAAGAUCAAAUUCUCAGGUUAUAUAAAUGAAGUCUAUGCCUUCAAUGGGAAGAGCUUUUCCUUUUUAAGAAAAAAAAACAAAAAACAAAACAACGGACUUGAGUGGGGAGCUCAAACUUAUGUCUUCCAGCUUGCACCAACGCAACUUUAAAAUGAGCUAGAUGCAAGUUCUGCUUUUGGCUCUCUACAGAGUAUACUUCCUAGCUUCCGGGGUGUCCUGUUACCUCCUAGGUGGGCAGUGUCUCCUUUUAACCCGCCAGUUUGGUGAUUCAUCUUCCUGGUCAGCCACAGGAAAUCCAAGCAAACCAAAAUCUGAGGGAGCACACAGAGGACAACAGAGGAGACUUAAGCCAGUUGAAGCUGCCACCUUGUCAUUCCUGUCAAUACUGUAGUAAGUAAAUGUUCUAAGUGUAUAGUCAGUUAAAGAUUGACUGACCAGACAAGAAUAAAUUGGAAACCCAAUUUGAU
rnacentral:lncRNA from 7 species